AUAGCAUCCAUUGCCUCAGGAUACAGGUUUUAUUUUAUAUCGAAGAGUACGUAGAGAUGGUUUGCCACAUGUGGGAGUAUGCAGAGUCCACACGCACACAUUCUGUCUUAUAAAAUUUUUGUUAGAAAAUUUUAAUGUUCUUUAUUUUAUUUUUUAUUUGUUGCUGUUGUUGUUUUUUGUUUUUUUUUUUUUUUUUUUUUUUUUUUGAGACAGGGUUUCUCUGUGUAGCCUUGGCUGUCCUAGAACUCACACUGUAGACCAGGCUGGCCUUGAACUCAGAAAUCCGCCUGCCUCUGCCUGGAUUAAAGUGCACCACCAUGUGCUCCGUGUGCUUACAGGUACCCCCUAGUGGCCCAAGGAAGUCAUCCUGUCUCCUGAAACUGAGAUUACACACAGUUGUGAACCACUAAAUGUGAGUGCUGGGAACUCAGUCUACAAGUGUUCUAGACUGCUGAGCCAUCUCUCUAGCCCCAUGUCUAGGAGGCUUGAACAUCACUGGUCUCUGGAAUCUCAAAAGAUCCCAGAUUGUAAGAUCCUCAUGAAUACCCAGAGAUGUCUGGCCACUCUCAAUGGUAUAAAGUACACUCUGAGAAGUGUAAAGAAACCCAUGCAAUCGUUGAGUUUCUCUCUAGUGAUUGUGUAGCCUGGGCCAUCCUUUGGUUUGCAGGCUUCCUUGUACUUUGGAAAAUGUUUGGCAACAUCCCAGACUCUUUCCAUUAGAUAGCAGAGGUGCCAAUCAAAAAUGUCUGCAGACACUGCCAAUGCCUUCUUGUUGGGAGUCACUGUUCUAGAUCAUGUCUCCCUCUGAGAAAGGAGUCAUAUUGUCUUUGAUUCUGGCCUCAACACUUAAUCUAACCUUAAGCAAGUUAUUUAAUCUCUGCCUAUUUUCCCUAAUUAUAAUAUUGGUCCAUAACAGAACCAACCUCUGGGAGUUGGCAUAUGAAAAUGAAAAUGAGAUGACCCAUCUAAAACCUCUCAGUACAUGUAAUGUCUGUACUGAGUCAGUGCUGACAAUAUGAAGAAUCUAAAAGAACAUUUCACUCAAUGAUGUCAUCCUGGAGAGAAAGGGCAGUCCAGCAUGUUCCGUACCCUCCAGUGCUCUGAAAGAGGGUCUUCCUAGAUAGCAGCCACGUGGUAUUUACUUGGCUGCUUACUGCUGCCUUCCCUGUGAGACUGUUUCUCAGGGCAAAGGCCAGAUUAUACUGUAUUCUGUAUUUCCAGAACUGAAUAGGCUCAGACUUACACAGACAUUUUUAAAGAUGCUUGCUGAAUAGUCAUUUCCACUAAGCGUCUACUCUUUCUCUUAUGAGACACAAGAUUGAGCAGUAUGAAGACAUCCAUCAAUACCCUCACAGAACCCUAAAUUCUCAGUAUUCUUACAACAAUGUUAUUAAAUUCUGAAGGCUUUCUCUUACAACUCUUUGUCACCAAGGAUAUCAGUACAAACAUUUCUUAGGUCCUAGCAUGACUUCAGGAAAUAUCACAGGCAAACACAAGGAAAACUCCCCUUUGAGUACCCUCUCUACAUCCCAUAGACAAACCAAAGAUUUCCUGAGCUUGUUGAGGAAGAGGGGUGCCAUAGAAGAGCAAUCAAGGUUGUGAGAGAGGAUUUGAAAUUGUGCUAGAAAAAUCUUGAAUUCAGGUAUCUACCCCAUGAAAGAAGAGAGCAGUUGAGGGAUAAGAAAUAGCUGACUAGCUGACCAGGAAUAUUAGAAAGACUGUAUGCGACUAGGGUUGCAGCCACAGAGGGAAAAGGUGUGGGAAGGGGAGUCAAGUUUCCAAGAGGAGUGCUUAGUCAUAUACACAGAGGGUGAAGAUAUAUACAUAGGGCGAGAAUUCUGCUCUGAAUGGGCUUAAGUAAGACCUGAUGUCUUUACUUCCCAACUCUCCUCCAUAAUCUUUCUAAAAAGUUCAUUUAGUUGGCAUUGCCUAUAAGCAUGGCAGCAACUUAAAUGGGUCCACUGAUAUAAUCAACCCUUUACUUUUCCCUCUUCACCACCUCUGCUUUCCAUUUUCAGGAAUAUCUGAAACCUUCCGAUGCUAAUAGCUAAUGUCAAAGACUUUUUACAAUUAUGUGAUCUAAAAGUAUGAAUGUGCAUAUAUGGGUGCAGGUACUCAAAGAGUCCAGAAGAGGGCUCUGGAUACCCAGGAUCUGAAAUCACAGAUCACUAUGAGUAACCCAACAUUCGUGCUGGGAACCAAAUUCUGGUCCUCUGAAAGAGUGGUACACGCUCUUAAGUGCUACCUCCAAAUUCUGGUCCUCUGAAAGAGUGGUACUUGCUCUUAAGUGCUGCCUGCCACCUCCCAGACCCCAACACUAAUUUUAACUAAAUAUAUUGGAUUAUUUUCCCUGAAAAGGUUUGGGAAGAUCUGAAUUUACCCACACUGAAAAGGUAAGACUAGGUAAAGUACACACACAGCUAGCGAUAUAUUAGCUAAUACAGAGCAAGUACUUGAUAGAUUCCCACACUCCCUGAUGAUAAGAGUGGGUGUGACACUCAAGUGUAACCUGUCUUCUAACCUGUAUGACUUGAUUUAGUAACCUAUGAUUCAGAAGGCAAGGCAGUCGGUAAACAUGGGAUUGAAUUUGUCAGAAUUACUGACAUUUCCUUACAGACAAAAUAAUUAUAUAGAGAGGAGAGGAAGCACAGUUGAGUUGCAGUUGCCAUAAAGCUGAUGAACUGAGAAGAAACUGAGCCUUUGAAGGCCUUAGAACAUAGCUGGUCUUGGCCAACACACAGACACUCAGCAAGAUGUUCUACUUAUUGGACAGCCACUAAGCCAAUACAACAGUGGAUAUAGUCUGGGAUCCAGACUGCUCAUUCAUUUAUCAAUAUGUCAAUAUCAGUCACUGCUUCUCCAAGGAAGGCAAGUGGGAUGGGAAGAUAGGUUUGUCACCCAACUGGGAGGGUAGCUCUGGAAAAAAAAUGGUAGAAAACAGAAGGUCUAAUCCUUUGCAACUCAUUCCCCUCAUAUGUUUCGUAAUGUCCUUUUUACAGAUCUUUUACUCUCCCUCCAGAUGCCCCAUGCCCAAACAGAAUAGUAUUAAAAAGCUAAUAUCUAUGGACAGAUUUGUGUGUACUAUAUAGAGAUUAAUUUCUCUGGGCCAAGUUGUUAGGACUGGGUAGCUUUCAACUCCCUGUUUAAGAAUCUGUGUCUGUGUAUCUACAUCCAGGGAGGAUGCAGAGUUUCCAUGAAGACUCUACCUGAUCCUGGCCUAGUGGCAAUUCUGCUGUAAACUCUCUUGAUUCAUUCCUACCCCUGUGUUCAGCACCUAAAAAUGAACGAGUAUUGCUCAAGGUGGUUCACAUCUGUAAGUCCAUUAGGUCGGCUUCUAAACUCUUUCCUGAACUUAAGGAAAAAGGUCUGAUAUGCACACUGACUUUUCUAAAUGAGAAAGUCUACAAAAAUAGAACCAAAGAGGGGUCAAAAUAAAAUGUAGGAAAAAAUGUAGAAAGAAAAUAGAAAGGAUGCUAUAUACAGGAGGAAGAACAAAAAACACAAUGAACAGUUGGAAGACAGAAACUCUCUUAUGUUAUUAAACAAAUGGAUGCUUACAAUACUCAACUGUAAGAAAGAUAAACAAGUUAAUUUUAUAUCCAGCUACUGCACAGAAGCAGAAGUUGGCCUAGUCGGCCAUCACUGGGAAGAGAGGCCCUUUGGUCUUGCAAACUUUAUAUGCCCCAGUAUAGGGGUACGCCAGGGCCAAGAAGUGGGAGUGGGUGGUUAGGGGAGCAGGGUGGGGGGGGACUUCUGGACAGCAUUUGAAAUGUAAAUAAAGAAAAUAUCUAAUAAAAAAUAUAUAUAAAAGAAAUGUACUUGAGCAGAUGACUCACUGUUAGAAAUUCAAAGCUACCUUUCUUAUGCUCAUAUGUAUGUAAUACCAUAUUUUUGUGCUGGAACUAUUGCACUUCUUUUUACAAAGAGAAGACAAACAAGAAUAAAAAUUGUAUGGACAAUUCACCAGAUUUUGGGGGUAUUUUUCAAAAUAUCGUCGAAGAUACUUUAUGUCUGUAAUAGAUCCAUAUCUUCUUUCUUCAGGGAAGAGUAGGCAACCUAGUUGGUUAAACUUUAUUCUCAUGUAUGAUUUUGAUGAUUAAAAAGAAAAAUAAGAAAGAUAAACAAUAAAGAACUGGUAGGGAUACAUCUAAAUGGAGAAACCCAUAGCAGACAAUAAUCAGGUUGUAUCACCCUAGGAAAAGGUGUGUGUGGGGGUGGGUGGGGGGUGGGGGUGGGGGUGGGGAAGUAUCAUAAAGUAAGAUGCAGAGUUCUAAAAUUAUUGGGUAAGACAAAGAGUCAAUUUCUCUUUCCUAAUAGUCCGUCAGAGAGCUAUAUAAUCCUCAUGGUUGGCGUGAAGAACAUGUUCUAAAUGGUGACGGGAGAACGGAGAUGGGACAAAAAAUGGGAGGAGAAUGCAAUGUGUCCCACAGACAUUCUGAUCUUAGGAGAAGCAGAAGAGCAGAAAGAUAGGAGAAAGUAAGUAUCACCCAUGAACCUAAGAGAAUGGGCAGAGAUGGGGAAUGAGGACUUCUACUCAAAGUAGCCUCUUGACAUGUGUGAUGGAUAAGCAUGGUGGGUCAGGCCUGGAGAGCAGGCAGAGAAGCACUUCUAGGAAGGAAACCCUUGCAGUUCUCUGCUCUGUCAAUCAGAGGACGGUCCUGUGAAAAAGACCACAAAUGAGAUGGAUAGAGCAUCCUCUGCCCCCCAGAGGAGAGCAAGGACAUAGAAAAGGAGGUAGAAGGAGGCUAUUGGGCGAUCCAUAGCUGAGAGGUGUGAUCUGAACGAGAAUGGCUUCCAUAGGCUCCUAUAUUUAAACCGUUGGUACCCAGUUGGGAGAAUUGUGUGGGAAGGAUUAGGAGGUGUGGCCUUGCUGGAGGAUAUGUCACUGGGGUCAGGCUUAAAGGUUCCAAGAGCCCUCUUCUGUCUCUUGUUUGUGGAUCAGAUGUAAGUUCUCACUACAGUUCCAGCACACUUUGCCUGCCUGCCUGCCUGCUGCCAUGCUCCUUGCCAUGAUGGUCAUAGACUCUAACCGUCUGGAACACUGAGCCCCCAAAUCAUCUGCUUCCAUUUAUAAGCUGCCUUGGCGACAGUAUCUUUUCACAGCAAUAGAAAACUAAGACAGAUAGGCUUCUCGACUUUAAAACAGCUGUCUGGAAUAUACAUCAGCAAAUCGAAAUCACACAGACCUCUAACAGGCGACCAAAAGAAUCACGGAACAGAGGGCAACUCUCUGAGGUCAAUGACCUCUUCUCAUACACAGGAAGGCUCACACACACAGCGAGACCAGACCUUCCCUGCCUCGAGACGGAACCCGGCAGCCAUUUGCUCUAGGCAGUCUUUGUGUAAGCCUGACACCCACGGUCGGUUAGGUAAAUCUCUCUCCUGGGCUCUAUCCCAGACAGCACCCGAAAAGGCUUCAGUCACUAUCAAUAUCCAGAUUUGGUUCAGAUCAGUUCUCCUUCAAGAAGAGCUCCUUGCAGGCCGGGGCUGUGUCGCUUUCAUCUUUAGAUCUUUAAUACCAUCACUGAGCUGAAUGUUAAAACAAGGGAGACGAGGAAGGGAAGACAGAGAGGUGACUGAAGGUGAAGAAUGGGAAGCGUCGGGCUCAGCAAGGGUAAGAAGACAGCGAGGAUGAGCUUUCUCACAGGGAAAGAGGCAACAGCAGCACAGUGACUGCCAGAGCCUGACACCCUGAACAACGGACGACACUACUCUUGUUUUAAAAAGCAUUGCCUGCCUGCUCUUAUUUGAGCUUCACAGAUCCAUAAGUCCAUUCCAUUAUUUAUGUGUACUGUACCCACUAUGAACAUCUAUUACCUCAGACUCUGAAAUGUCACAAAGGAGGGGGCCUAUGCCUAUGCAUUUAAUUAUGAGCCGGUGGAGGUGUAGGAUCAGUUAUGGAUGAGAUGCUAAGUGCUUCUUUGGUCAUCAGUGAACCCUAGUCAGUAAGGAAUACAUCUCAGUGUGGAGUUAACUUCAAGGACAUGGUGCUACUUGAUCCAGAAGCCUGGGUCCAAGGACUCUCUAGUUACCCCUGACUACCAACAGGAGAUCCCACUUGCUUGGCAUGACGGCUUCAGAUGCACUCACCUUGAUAAAUGAUAGAAAUUUCCUGUCACCCUCAACUACUCUUUCAUGACCAUGCAGUACAGACACAAGGCACAGCAUGUGACUGUCAUCACAGUACCUGGCUAUCACACUUCAGCGAUGCGGAUUCUCUGGCUGUUUCUCCAGACACGUCUGAGAGCUCCCUGAGGCAGAGAUGGAGUCCUUCCAAUAUUCAUCCCCCAUAUUCCUGUUCAUAGCUCUCAGAACACAGGGACUGCUGAUUAAGUUAGGGCCCAUGAAGGCCCAUCAGCGAGGUGAAAGCAACAGUCUAGAUGCACGCUAACAUUGACCACAUAGAGGCCAGACCAAAGAGGAGCUAUCUGAUACCCAAUCAAAAUCCAGAGAUGUUGGUACUCAGCUGAUUUCUGUAUCCUGUGUCAUGAGCAACUUCAUAAAAAUUGUGACAACCUCUUAGCCU